GAUGAACGCUGGCGGCGUGCCUAAUACAUGCAAGUCGAGCGAACAGACGAGGAGCUUGCUCCUCUGACGUUAGCGGCGGACGGGUGAGUAACACGUGGAUAACCUACCUAUAAGACUGGGAUAACUUCGGGAAACCGGAGCUAAUACCGGAUAAUAUAUUGAACCGCAUGGUUCAAUAGUGAAAGACGGUUUUGCUGUCACUUAUAGAUGGAUCCGCGCCGCAUUAGCUAGUUGGUAAGGUAACGGCUUACCAAGGCAACGAUGCGUAGCCGACCUGAGAGGGGGAGGGGGCAAACUGGAAUUGAAACACGGUCAGGGCCCCUACGGGAGGAACCAGUUGGUAUGAUGUGCAAAUGGGCGAAAGCCUGAAGGAGCAUAGCGGGGGGGAAGAAGAAGGGUUUGGGUCCGUAUAACUCUGUUACGGGGAUAAACAAAUAUUGCCAGGAAUUAGGACGACCUGGACGGUACCUAAUCAGAAAGCAACGGCUAACUACGUG
rnacentral:rRNA from 1 species